rnacentral:rRNA from 1 species
GACGAACGCUGGCGGCGUGCUUAACACAUGCAAGUCGAACGAUGAACCCGGAGCUUGCUCUGGGGGAUUAGUGGCGAACGGGUGAGUAACACGUGAGUAACCUGCCCUGGACUCUGGGAUAAGCGUUGGAAACGACGUCUAAUACCGGAUAGGACCUUGGAUCGCAUGAUCUGGGGUGGAAAGUUUUUUCGGUCUGGGAUGGACUCGCGGCCUAUCAGCUUGUUGGUGAGGUAAUGGCUCACCAAGGCGUCGACGGGUAGCCGGCCUGAGAGGGUGACCGGCCACACUGGGACUGAGACACGGCCCAGACACCUACGGGAGGCAGCAGUGGGGAAUAUUGCACAAUGGGCGAAAGCCUGAGGCAGCAACGCCGCGUGCGGGAUGACGGCCUUCGGGUUGUAAACCGCUUUUAGUAGGGAAGAAGGGCUUCGGCUUGACGGUACCUGCAGAAAAAGGACCGGCUAACUACGUG